rnacentral:rRNA from 1 species
CCUAGUACGAGAGGACCGGAGUGGACGCAUCACUGGUGUUCGGGUUGUCAUGCCAAUGGCACUGCCCGGUAGCUAAAUGCGGAAGAGAUAAGUGCUGAAAGCAUCUAAGCACGAAACUUGCCGAGACAGUUCGGUCCCUAUCUGCCGUGGGCGCUGGAGAAUUGAGGGGGGCUGCUCCUAGUACGAGAGGACCGGAGUGGACGCAUCACUGGUGUUCGGGUUGUCAUGCCAAUGGCACUGCCCGGUAGCUAAAUGCGGAAGAGAUAAGUGCUGAAAGCAUCUAAGCACGAAACUUGCCCCGAGAUGAGUUCUCCCUGAGACUAUAAGUCUCCUGAAGGAACGUUAAAGACGAUGACGUUGAUAGGCCGGGUGUGUAAGCGCAGCGAUGCGUUGAGCUAACCGGUACUAAUGAACCGUGAGGCUUAACCUUACAACGCCGAAG